rnacentral:misc_RNA from 1 species
UAAAAGUACAACGAUUAAAUUUAUCAAAAAAAAAACUAAAAAAAUCAAUAAAACAUAGAGGGAAUUCGUUUCCCAGUCACUUUUGUUUUAAAUUGCCGUUCUUGAACUCUGUGAUCACCGAAUUGUUCAGGUGUGAAAGUUUAGUAAAACGGCAUUUGUGCACGGAGUGUUGACCAGCCAUUAACAAUAGUUGUGUACUUAUGAUAUCAAAUAAACCAAUCCCAAUAGAAAAUUUAUGAUUGAAGCAGUAAAAUUCAGAAAAAUAUAAACACAUAGCUCAAUUCGUAAAUAAAUAUCAAUACUCGACGGAAAACCUUGUGUGGUUAAGGAGCUGAAAAGGACGGUGCAGAUUUGUAGAGCAGGAACAUUACUCUUUGUUACGUUAGAUUAAGAUAAAGAAGAAAGUUCAAAAAAGCGUUUUCCUUGUUUUUGCUCAUAUUAUAGUUACACCCAUUAAAUAAAGGCUGUUGUAGUAAGUGAAAAACGCAAUUCGCGGUGCCCAAAUUUCCGACGAAGCAAAUUCGCGUGGAUUGACAAGGCUUUAUUCUGUAAUAGUAAAAAUUAAACAGAAAGUCUUCUACUCUGUGAAGUGGCUGAAAAGAAUUUUGUGACGAGAAUUUUCCAUUCGACAAAAAUUAAAGAAAAUCUUGAAUUGUCAGCCAUUGUGCAGUCGUAUACAAAACAACUGUGUAUGCAGGAAACGACACCGCGACUCGCAGAUACAACUGGAAUUUAGUACACGAAAGAGUGAGAGCAAUAGUGGUCGCAACCAUUUGUCGGUUCACAAAAAAAACAAACACGAACAAGCUCCACAAAGUGAAAAUAUUAAUUACAGUGCAAGCAGCCAAAUAAAGAAGUGCAGUGGAAAGGUUUACAAAGCGAAAAGACCACCAAUAGAUGUACCGCCAGAACCAUCCACAAAGCGAAGGAUCAUAUAGAAGGACUAGAGGACGAAGAAGACAAAGAAGCAUUUUUACCAUUUAAAUCACCAUCAUAAAAUGUAAAAACUUAAUUUACUUAAUAAUGCGUCGGUCCUCUGGAUUGAACUAACCGUUUGUGUGUAUUACAAACAAACAAAACUGAAGACAACUCUUAUGUACCCAAUGCUAAUGUAAUACGUACUAUGUAAUGUGCUAUACAUUUUGAACUAUGUAUUUGUAUUUGCAAAAUAAUAUGUAGAAGUGUAUUUGCAGAAAUAACAAAAACCCAAAGAUAAAUGUUAACAAAUUUUAAACUAGCAAACUUUAAAAAUUAAAAUUGUUUAAAGAUAUACUUCCGUCAUCACGAACAAAUAAAAAAAUAAAACAAUAAUAAUAAAACUACAAUAGACAAAAGACAAAAACCAAACGGCCGCGAGGCCCAAAAACGAAAAUAUGUGCUUUAGUUUAUUGAUGGAUACAAACAAAAUUUUAUUCAAAGAAUGUCUGCCAACAAAUGCAAAUGAAAUGAAGAACUGCAGCGCAAAUGUAAUAAACAAACAUAUAAAUUCAUAAGAGAACCUGAGUCCUAAGCAAACAUCAACACACCCAAUUCAGUACGCCAAUUUACACAAACAUUAAUAAAAAUAAAGGAAAAUAAUUGAGGUUUGCUUGCGAUGCAUAAGCAUCUUGAUUUACAAAAAAAAAAUGACCAACGAACCCAGUCGUUGAAAAUGUGUUAUUUUGAAUUAAAGCUAGUCCGUUGUGCAAAACAUUAUUAGAAAGAGUAGAUUUAUGAGAUUUCAAAAUACGACAAUUUCCGGCAAUAAAAUAAAAA